rnacentral:rRNA from 1 species
GACGAACGCUGGCGGCGUGCUUAACACAUGCAAGUCGAACGGAAAGGCCCUGCUUUUGUGGGGUGCUCGAGUGGCGAACGGGUGAGUAACACGUGAGUAACCUGCCCUUGACGUUGGGAUAACUUCAGGAAACUGGGGCUAAUACCGGCUAGGAGCUCCUGCUGCAUGGUGGGGGUUGGAAAGUUUAGGCGGUUGGGGAUGGACUCGCGGCUAAUCAGCUUGUUGGUGGGGUAGUGGCUUACCAAGGCUUUGACGGGUAGCCGGCCUGAGAGGGUGACCGGCGACAUUGGGACUGAGAUACGGACCAGAGUCCUACAGGAGGCAGCAGUGGGGAAUAUUGCACAAUGGGCGGAAGCCUGAUGCAGAAACGCCGCGUGCGGGAUGACGGCCUUCGGGUUGUAAACCGCUUUCGCCUGUGACGAAGCGUGAGUGACGGUAAUGGGUAAAGAAGCACCGGCUAACUACGUG